CCUACGGGAGGCAGCAGUGGGGAAUAUUGCACAAUGGGGGAAACCCUGAUGCAGCGACGCCGCGUGAGUGAAGAAGUACUUCGUUACGUAAAGCUCUAUCAGCAGGGAAGAAAAUGACGGUACCUGAGUACGCAGCCCCGACUAACUACUUGCCAGCAGCCGCGGGAAUACGUAGGGGGCCAGCGUUAUCCGGAUUUACGGGGUUUAAAGGGAGCGUAGACGGUGCGCCAAGUAUGGAGUGAAAGGCCGCAGCUUAACUGCGGAACUGCUUUGGAAACUGGCGAACUAGAGGGCGGGUGGGGUAAGCGGAAUUCCUAGGGGAGCGGUGAAAUGCGUAGAUAUGAGGAGGAACACCGGUGGCGAAGGCGGCUUACUGGACCGUAACUGACGUUGAGGCUCGAAAGCGUGGGGAGCAAACAGGAUUAGAUACCCUAGUAGUC
rnacentral:rRNA from 1 species